GAGCCCACAUAAAUGUAGAUUUUGAAAAAUGAAAGCCAUCAGGGCUUCCUACUGACUCCAAGCUCACUGAUUUGCUCAGCAGCCUGCUAAGGGAUCUCCUGUCUCCACCUUCUGUCUCCACCUUCCCAAUGCUGAGAGUAUAGGGGGCUGCCGCACCUUCCCAACAUUUAUGUAGAUUCUGAGGAUCCAGACUCCAGUUCUCACAUGUACAUAGCAACAACCCUGUCCAGUGAGCCAUUUCCCCAGUCCUUCAGCAAGGUCUGUUGUGGUCAUUCUUGUUGGGCAUAAGUGUACGAGGUCCCCUCCUCUGUAAUCUUCGGGCUGUACUAACUUAUUUUCUGAUGUAGUUGUUGUUGGCCUGACAUAAAUGUCUCCACUUUGAUUCUAGCAACUUUGACAAUAAGUAGCUCAUUCUUUGCAGAAUAGCAGCAACACUACAUAAAAGUAACUCAGCUGUCUUCAUUUCUCUUCCUGACCCAAUCACAAUCUACCAGCACUCCCUGUCAUGUCCAGAAGCCUGCAUUUCACAGCCCUCCUCCUCACCCACCAGCUCCUGCAUCCUUUAUGCCCACUCUCCCAUGAUAGUCCCAGACCUCGGCUAAGGGAGGUCAGUAUAGAUUACUCACACCCACGGCUGAGCACUCGUGGUUUCUUAUUCUUGGCACUUUAACAAGAUACGAGUUUUUUGCAUUAAUCACUGAAUUCAACUUGCUGCAAAAAACAUACUUCUCUGACCAAACUGAGAGCAAUCCAAAUCUCUACAACCAUUUUCACAUGAGUCCUCCAGUCAUCAGGAGAACAUGUCCUACCUUGUCAUAUGCAUACUAGGAAAGACUGGAAGGUAUGCCCUGCCCUGUUAGGUGUGGCGCUAGCCAGACUAUGCACUGAGCAUGGGAGGCUGUCCCCUUUGUCUUUUGGUUGAUUUGCACAGCUAGAUUAGACAACUGGGUUUGCUACCGGAAGUUAAACAGUUGGGAGAACAGCCAUCCUUAUUUGGGUAGAAGCAAGCAAAAUGAGAGCAGUGUGUUACAUUCGUGAUUGGCUGGUCUUGGAUAUGACUGUUCCCACCUCAAGUAGUACAGGGGGAUACAUUUCUGGGCUCUAGAAAGAAUACUGUGUUAGCCUGCCUCCCAUUACUGUAGCAAAUACUUAAGAUCAAUAUAUUUAUAAAGACAAAAGAUUAUCUUGGUUCCUAAUUCUGAUAUCCCAUUCUACAGUUGGGCAGACCUAUUGUCGUCUGUGGGGAUGGGGCCUUGUAUACUGUGCUUGGAGUUUGUGCUGUAGCAGAACCCUUUAAUUCAUGGCCAGUAUAAGAACAAAAGAGGAAAAAAUCCUCAAUCCCUCCCACAAUCCCUCCAGGGCUCAUCCCUCUAGGAAUGAUCUCUUGGUGUUUACUUCCUCCUAAUAAUGCCACUGGCUACAAACUGAGCCCUUGAUAACCCUACAGACACUUGAUAACCCUACAAUGAGGCCCAAAGGUGAGUAGGAAGAAUGCACUGAAUCCCAGAUUGAACAAGAUACCUAGAGGUAGGGGUAGGAUGGGGUGACCUCUAAAGGGCUACUGAGACACCUGCCCCUAAAGAGGACAGACCAUAUCUCCAGAGACUGACCAUAGACAGGAGCGCUUUGAAGGAGAUGGGACGGAACUGGACUAGAAGUCACUCGAUUGGAUGGAUCUACCCAGAUGUCUUCAUGCCAUUUGGUGGGUAAGUGGGGCUAAGAUGCAGAUGUUAAAUGACUUCUCCAAGGACAUCUCUGUUGUCACACACUUUUGUCCUGCCGACAUUAGUGGUCUCUGAAAUCCCAUUAGCUGGACAUUUAGUUUUUUAAAAAUCUUGUUAAAAAGUGUUUAAAUGUUAAAGAUGCGUUUAUCAUCUUGUUUCAGAAACCCCCAAACCCCUCACUGUGUUGCUCCAAAGUGCUUAUCUGUUUGUCACUGUGCACAUGCUCAGAUGAUUAUUUGGAUCAACGUCUCCUCAGCUUGACUGAGUUGCCUGAGGGCCUGGACAUACGAGCUCUCGCCAGUCUUCCCAGUUUUGCCAGAAGUGCCAUCACUGGUGGUAAAGAAACAUAGAGUCGCCCCACUCAUUUGGUAUAAAAACGUGACUACAGACCAACUCCCCUUUGCUUUGACUUCUGCGUGCAGCUACAGUAGCAGGUACAUCCCACAGGAUGAUGUCCCUAGCUUGUUCCCAAAUAGACACCAUUAUUCGUCAGAGACUCUCCCUGCGUUUGUUGAAGACACAGCUAGAGACCGGUCUUCACACCGGUUGCCCAGACGGCAGUUUUCACAAUGACAAUUUUCUGAUGGGUAGCAGCAAAAUGUCUCAUUGUAGCAUGUUCAGUGGGGUGGGACAACUUUGCAGCAAGUAGGAGUGAAAGCUGUCUUAAGCAAGGGACCCUCCUUCUAAUACUUACAAAGACCCCCGUCAGCUAAUGACUUACGGACUUUCCUCAUACCACAUAGCUGGGGAGUCAUCACCCAACAACUCUGCCUGGGUGUUGUUGCUACGAAAAGAGAAAAAGUAGGUCUGUACAUGUGCAUGGGAGUACACACACACUGCAUUCCUGUCAUAAAUGUGAAAGUGAUAGGCUCCCUAAAAUAGACCUUUGGUCUAUUCCAAACACUGAAGAUCUACAGGAAUAUUUAUUUAUUUCAAUCUGGAAUAUAACUAUAAUAUAUCUCCCCACACCCUGUUUCUCACCUACUCUCUCCAAAAAUAAAUAAGAAAAACAAAACAAAACAAAAAAAAAAAAAACACAGAGUUCAUACCCAUCUAUUCUAACUCAUCCCAUAGAUGGGAUAUUUGCCUCCAAACGAGUAUUCCAGAGCAGAAACCUGCAGAUUAAUUAGGCAGGAAAUAAUCUCCCAGCCACAGCACACCCUGUGUUCCCUAACAGAACUCAGAAAUGAUUUGCGCCUCUAUUUAUGACUUCGGGCACCUGCCUGUGCUCCUUCGAAUACUCUAUUAAAAACUUUUUUAUUACCUUGUUCCCAGGGUCAACUUCCUGUUUGUUUUGUGGGGUGAGUAAUGUUUCGCGCGCCUGCUCUGGGACAGCCACAAGGGCACACCAGGAGGUACUAUAGAGGAUUCAUUCUCCAGAGAUUCAGAAUGUUCUUCUCGGGUCUGAUGUUACCCACGACUCAAGAUUUGUCUGAUUCAUGAGAGCAUUGCACAGGUGUAAGGAAGUGACCCUCUCCCGUUUGUUUUAAGGGCAGCUGAGCUGUCAGGAGUUUGGAAGAAGGUUUUUUGUUUUUCUGAGGCUGCAACAUUUCUCACAAACACAUUCCCGGUUUGAACCCAAGUCAUAAUAAAUUUAUGAACUAGUUACACUUGGCUCUAAAUCAUUUCACUAAGAGAAGCAUGCUGGCUAGAAAUUUAACUGCUCUCGUUGGGGCCGUAGAUGGGGGGAAAGGGAGAAGGUCAUCAAUGUUGCCAGCAAACUAAGGAUAAAUAUCUCAGACAGGAAGUGCUUGAUCGUGCACUGACUUACUAGAGCUGCAGAAAACCACUGCAAAGUAGAAAAACCAGUAUAGCAGUGAAUUAGUUAAAUGGCUUUGGCUCCCAGCAGGUCAUGCUUCCAGUCACCCACCAGAGCCCUCUAUAUUUGUGAAUGAAAUACACACACACACACACACACACACACACACACACACACACACACACAGAGUUAAUUUUGAUAUGCCUUGGCUAGUUCAAUGACUGGGCAUUUCUAAUCCUCCCUGUAACUAGCAUAUAUUUCCCUCUGGUAUUCCUGGCUUAACACCUUCUAAUUCUAUGCUUAUCUUUGCUGCCCUGUGACCUUCUGGGCAGCUCCCCCCAUAGGCCGCUUUCCCCUUCCACCUACAUUUUGGGUGAUUAUUUUCUCUGUAGCUCCUAAAUCUGAUCCCCCUGCCUCAAGUCAUGGUGAAUCUGCCUCCUUCUCUAUCUCCUAUUAUGUUCCAAGACUGGGAAUCCUAAAAGUCCCACCUCUGUCUGCCCUGCCAAACCAGAGCUGCUGGCAUCUUUAUAUACCAAUCAGAACCGACUGGGGACAGGAUCCCUCGGUGCCUUAGAGUGCCUACAGACACUCAUGAAAGCAGUUUUGGGGGCCAAAAUUAACAAAACACAAGCAGCAUUAGGCCAAACCCACUUCAAACCAGAGAUUAUAUUGUUGAUUGACCUUCUCAAAUUCAUACAGUUUGUAAGAGUCUCCAAACUCUGGAGAUGGGGAAACAUUAUACGGUCAAAUAGUCUUUUUAAUCCUUUCUGCCUCCAGAGACCACAGCUAAUCUCCCACUACAGACUUAUUCUGUAUUUCGGAUAUUUUGGAAUAAUCAUUUAAUACUCAUGAAGAAGGUUUCAUUUUCUAGGCUUUGUGUCAUUGCCAAAGGUUAUGUCCCAUUCAUCAGAUGGGCCUGGAUAGAACCGAACACAAUCAUAGAUAGACUAGAGCCCAAAGACUCACCAUCACAGUUGUUACUGGGUUUGUUAUUGUCCAAACAACAUGUCACUUGAAUGUAGCAAAGGCCUCCUGACUGCAUUACUACAUAGCAGAGAUGUGGGCAUGCGUGGACGCAGACAAGAAAGCAGAAGCUAAAGAGCAAACCAUACAAGCAGAACUUGCUCUAUAAUAAGCUGUUCUCUUCUCUCAAGAGCCAAUCCAGACUUGGCCACUCCGGCCCAGAUGGAAAUGCCUAGAACUGAGAGUUCACAUCUGAACCAUACAUACGAAGCAGCAAGAGUGUGCUGGAAAUCAUGUGUGGCUUUUGAAACCUCAAAGUCUACCGUCAGUAACAUACUUCCUCUACAAAGACCACAUCUCCUAAACCUUCUCAAACAGUGUAAUCAACUUGGGAGCACAAACUCAGAUGCUCAGGAAUACAGACAGCGUCUCAUUCAAACCUCCACAAACAUCCACUCAAUGUUAACAUAUAAUACUGUACUUCAGGAACAACGUAAACAUUCCUCAGUGGAAGAGUGGCUCGUGAUUAUAAGACUCCUAGACGUGGAAUGUUGGGCAAGCAAUGAACAAGAUCCAGAGAUCAUGAAAUUGCUACUAAUACCCUGAGGUGAGGAAACGCUGCAGAAAACAUCACUACCUUCACAGAGGCCUCUUUACCCUGACCUUUUGACUGGUGGAGAUGCGAAUGUGCUCCAACACUCACAGGGACAGCAGCCUGUCUAUCUCUUGGAGAGGGGUCUCUCCUUCCUCUGCCUUGCAAACCCCACUAAGGAACGAAGAGUCUAGAGCUCUAGUUUCCAGGCGUCUGGCCCUUAAGGUAACAAGGAAGGAUGCCAUUGGAAAUGAAUGCUGAUGGACAAGAAACUGAAGAGCAGAACAGGCAAAAAAAAGGGGGGGCAGGAGAGGAGCAGGAGCAGAGAGUGAAAAGAAGGCGCAAAGGCAGAUUUCAUUUGAGGGCAGAAUCAAGUAAAACAGUUUUGGAAUAGGGACUGCUGAAGCUUCGGAAGGUAAGAGAACAUGGGAGCAAGUAGAUGAUGCGUCAGGCUAACGGCACGGAAGACGUUCAGCUGUGGGGACAAAAGGAAGCACUAGCAUCUUACUCAUAACAUUGACAGGGACCUCAGCAUUAUCUGGACCAAAAUAAGACAACUCUUAUCGUGACGUCUGCCAUUAAAACCACGGAGCUUCGUGAUUCCUCCCACGUGCCCUUUACUGAAUACCACAAAUGAUUCAGGUUGAAUGAAUAGAUUUUUAAAAAUCUUUUUAGAACUACAGCACUCUGUAUAAAUAUUACUAACUGUCAGUCCUUUUUAUCUUGGUGCAGACUUCUGAGUACUGACUCUGAGGAGCUAAAGAAGCCAAAAACAAGAAGGAUGCCCUUGAUUUCUUCCUCUUACAGUUGCCCCAUGGCCCACUCUGGCUUAGGUUGGGAAAAGCUGGGCUUCCCUGCAGGUGGAUAGGUGUCUAUGGCUGGACACCGAGGGGCCAGCAGAGCAUUAGAGAUGAGUGUUGUCCAAAUGGGUGAAGCUUCAGGCCAGUAUUCCCAGGGCAACCUGAGAAGACAAAUGGAGGUAUAAGAAAUCACCAGAAUGAGAUGAGGGAAGACGCACAGUAUGGAGGGUAGGAGGAAGCCUACAGCUUUCCCAAGGAAAGCAAGAGAAGAAGCUCUGAGAGCCAAAUGGGGGAGAACACAGAGCACUUCCUGACAUUAACCAUGGAGACAGAGGCUUAAAGAGCAUGGCUUCUCCAUGAGCUUCUCGGGUAUUUCUCUACCUCUGGUCUUCUCAUCUCUGCUCAAGGCCAUGAAUGCUGAUCAAGAUGGGACCACCACAUCUUGGUUGCCUUCUUCUCCUGGCUGGGGAAAGCAGGCCCAGGGCUGCUGCUGAAGCCUCAGUGUCUGCCACUCCAGAGAACAGCUCACUCAACUAUCGGGGUGCAUUCUCUUUCGUUCUGACUGUUGCUACUGCUUAUGGGGUCCAAAUUGUCUCCUUUUCUACAGGAGUGUGAUGACAAGAACAGCUCAGGUGUGAACUUUGAGGAAGGAAAGCAAAAGCACAGCUUCCAGACCACAGGACCUGGCAGGACACUGCCUGUGGAGUUAGCCUCUGCGGCCACAACUGAAGUCAGACUACUCUCUUGGUUUGCUUGGUCACUUCAAGCUCUGCCUUGGAUGUUACCACGCCCCCCUGCACCCGACACACACAAAGGUCAAUGUUUGGAGCUUUGUCCCUAUGGAUAUGGUGUUGGGAAAUCAUAGAAUCUUAAGAGGCAAGGACUAAGAGAGAUUCUAGAUCAUGAAGUUGGGAUGCCCUUGAAAUAGACCUUGACCAGUUCAAGAUGGUUGUUAGAAAAAGCUUGAGACUGACCCUUGAGUUGCAACCUGGCUUUCUGGUUCAAAGUGUGGUCCCUUUGUCUCAGUUACACUUCUACUAGUGUCUCCAGUCAUUAGGGGAUGCAGCUAAAAUGGAAGGCAAGAUAGGGGUAGGGGACCUCACCAGAGCCUAUACACUAGGCCACUUGGAUUCCCAGCCUUUAUGCUUAUGAGCUAAAUUAUCCUCUUUUCUUUAUAAAGUCCCCCUGUUUCAGUCUUCUUGUUGUUGCUACCUGUUGUGGUUUAAGUCUGAAACGUGCCCCCAUCUUAUGCCUGAAUAUGUUUGACUGCCUGUCCCCCAACUGGUGGUACAACGCUAGGCUGUCGUGGACACUCCGAAGUGUGUGGCUUGCUGAUAGAGAUGGUUUACUAGAGGGAUGCCUUUGAAGCUCACAACUACUUCUGGGUCUGCCUUGCUAUCUCUUGUUAUCUGCCUUGCUUCACGGUGUGAGGGGCACCAGCUCUCCACCACUCCAGCCCCCCUCCUCACUUCCAUGGACUCUGUCUAGGUUUCCCUGCUGUAAUAGAUUGAAACCAUGGGCUAAAAUAAAAAUGUCUUCUAAGAUCUA
rnacentral:sRNA from 1 species